rnacentral:rRNA from 1 species
ACGGAAGGCAGCAGUAGGGAAUAUUGCACAAUGGGGGAAACCCUGAUGCAGCAACGCCACGUGUGGGAAGAAGCAUUUCGGUGUGUAAACCACUGUCGUGAGGGAAUAAAGCUGGAGUUGUCCAGUUGAAUGUACCUCGAAAGGAAGCACCGGCAAACUUCGUGCCAGCAGCCGCGGUAAUACGAGGGGUGCAAGCGUUGUUCGGAAUCACUGGGCGUAAAGGGAGCGUAGGCGGAACUGCAAGCGGUCUGUUCAAUCACGGGGCCCAACCCCGUACCAGCAGACCGGACUGCCGUUCUUGGAUAGUUCAGGGGAAGGCGGAAUUCCUGGUGUAGCGGUGGAAUGCGUAGAGAUCAGGAAGAACACCGAUGGCGAAGGCAGCCUUCUGGGGACUUUAUCGACGCUAAUGCUCGAAAGUGCGGGUAGCAAACAGGAUUAGAUACCCUGGUA